CCCACACUGAGAGGGAAGAGAGUUGAGUGUGCUGCGCAUGCGCCGCGGCUCCAGCCCACACUGAGGGGGGAAUUCAAAGAUAUAUCCCUGAAAGUCUGUGGAACCAGUACACGGAGAGAACUUGUAGCCCCUUUGACGCUAACUGAAAAGAAACUGCCUUGUUCAUCCGACAUCAAGGGCAGCAGGCGGGCGCAAGGGAGAGAAGACGAUGGUUGGACCAAACGCUGAAACCUGUUCUCAAGUCCUGAGAAACAGCCGAACGCAGCCAUGUUGACUCUGGGCCAGAGGGCCACUCGGACCAGCUCCAGGUCAUCCUGUUGUGUCGGCCUGUGAAGCUUUUCCAAGGAGAGGGGUCUUAGCCGUUGUCCCUCUCUCCCGCCACCACAACAUGUCAACCGGGAUCUGGUCAGAUGAGCCUGAGCUGCUUUGGCCCUGCGAUAGUCAGGAGUCCACAGAGAAGGACCAGAAAGAGGGUGCCCACGUUCUCUACGUGUGUUGGCAAAUUAGGACAAGAAGAUUAACUCCUUUGAGAUCUGAUGCUGGAGGAGAACGUUGAGGAGAUUGUGGAUGGUCAAAAAGACAAACAAAUGGGUCCUUCAACAGAUCAAGACUGAAUUCUCCUUGGAAGCCAAGAAGACUAAUAAUAAUAAUGAUGUUUAUUUUUGCAUAGCGUAUACCAUUACAAAAAGUAGUUCAUAUAAAAAACAUAUAAACAUAAAAUAGAAGCAGCAGCUACACUGUAAGAUAUACAUUGCAUUGCAGGAUUAAAAUUGUCUUUUGAAAACAACAACAACAACAACAUGUAAGAUGGAUCUAAAGAGGCAUAUGGGGCCAGAUACACUAAAGCUCUAUAACAUUGGUUUACAGAGCUGAGGAUAUUCAAGAAUAGUUGGGCUUCAAAACUAUCCUGUGACGCAGCCAUCGUCUUUACAGAACUUCCUCCUUAACACUGAAGCUUUAAAGGCACAACAGGCUACCUUUUCAGAAAUGCUUGUUUCAGUAUCCCCUAAUAAUAGAGUGAUCAGAUAUGAAUCAGAGUUGUUUGAUACCAAGCCUAAGUCUUUGUAUAAAGCAUUUCUUAGAUCUUUAUAAAUUGGUCACUCUAAUAAGUCAUGACUUAGAUCUUCAACUGAGUUGGAGCCACAUGGACAAACUCUUUCUUCCCAGAUGGUCCUUUGAUAAUGCCCUUGCACCGCAGCUGUGGUCAUUGACUGACAACGUAAGGCUGUGAAGGCAUAUCUCUGUUUGAAAUCAGUUAUAUUAUUUAGAUGUUGUGGAUAAUGUAUUUGGGAAGGGAGUUUGGUAUACCAAGGAGCACAUUUUGAUGGGCCAACAGAAGUACAAUCUAACUGAAAGUUGUGUUUCAAAAUAUGGGACUUCAUAUAUUUUACAGCUUUAUCAUAAUUUAAAGAGCACAAAGAGUCCUUUGAGAGCCCAUACAAAUCAAUAAGUUGCAGGAUUUCUUGAUUCCAAGAUCUAAGUGUUUUGUUUUCAAACUUCAACAUUUCUUUGAAAGCAGUCAAUACAAGGGCUGGUCCUAUCCCAUUAGUAAGUUUGGGCCAGUAUUUAAUGGCUUGAACCUGAGUUAUAGCCUUAACAGUACGGAGACCACCUUCCGACCGAAGGAUAGCGGUCUCGGUUCCUUUGGGAAGACCUAAAAUUAUUUUGGACUGUUUCCAAGUUAGAUUUUAUGUUAGUCCCCCAAAUUUCAGCCCCAUAAUGCAACUGAGAUAUAACUUUAGCCUCAAAGAUUGUAAUGGCCGGAGGGAACUGUUGACCACUUCUGCUCCAGGAGAAUCUUAAUAGAGAGUUGGCUGUAUUAAUAGCAACUGUUUUUGUAUUUUCAAAAUGACAACUCCAAGAUCCAGCUGAGGAGAAAUUUAGUCCUAAAUAUCUGAAGGACUUCACUUGUUCUAUCGGUUGCCCCUCAGUUCGCCAUCUAUGCUUUUUAUGCUCAUUGGCAAAAACUAGUAUGUCUGGGUUUUUGUGAUUAAUUUUCAGCUUGCCUUGUGUUGCUAAUUGACUAAACGCCUUCAAUAAUCUCCUUAAACCUUGCUGUGUUUGUGACAAUAAAAUAGUAUCAUCUGCAUACAUGAGAACUGAUAUUUUCCUGGGUCGCAAUUUAGGGGGUACAUAGUUGUCAUUAUCCCUUAAAUCAGUAAUUAGUGAAUUAACAUAAACGUUAAACAACGCUGGAGCUAACAGGCAGCCUUGGUGGACACCAGGAGUAGUUGAUAUUGGGUUUGAAAGCAAGCCAGCAGAAUCCAAUCUGACUUGAAUUUUAGUAUCAGAGUGAAGGGCUUCUAUCAGCUUCUGCAAUCUUUUAUCUAUGGAUGUUUUACUUAGUUUUUCCCAAAAGUGUUCUCUACUGAUGGAGUCAAAGGCUGCUGAAAAAUCAAUAAAUGCAAGGUAUAAAUGCUUUCGUUUUAAUCUGACAUAUUUGUGUAUGAAAUGACAUAAUACAAAACAAUGAUCUAGUGUUGAGCGAUUGCCUCGGAAACCCACCUGUUCUUCUGCUAUUAUAAAACUGCUCUUCUUCCCUCAGCUCCUGUUUGUGGAGGAUAAGGAGGACCUUGAGGCUUGGCUCCAGAGGCCUUCCCUCUAACGCCAAGGCUGCUGGUAUAACAACUCUUCUUCCCUACAUUUGCCUGCUGGCUGCUUACAUUACCAGACUGAAGGAGGCAGGGAAGUCUUUGAGGUUGAUGUUACGUCCUAUAUUUUAUGCUUCUAGUCUGAUUGAGAUUAUUGCUCUGGUUAUUUUAGGUUCCACUUUUUAAUUAUAUUUUGUAUUUGAAAAUGGUUUUUACCAGACAGGGCUAUAAGCAAAAGGGGCUCCAGUUAGUUUCUGGCGAUUCACCAGGUAAUAAAGGAACACAAAAGAAAACCACAAACUUUUUCCCCUCACAAAGAAAGGAGGCAGUUGCUGAGGAUCUACACUUACCAUCCCCAGAGCCUACUCUAGAUUGGUCAGUUGAUCAUAGCUACUCAAGACAUGAGAUGGGCUCAGAAGAGGCUGCCAUGAAUUUAGCACUAGAGUUGGCAACUGCAGAAAAUGCUCCUCUCAUUCCUAGGAUGGGACCAGAGGAGAGAGAUGGUUUUAUGACAGAGCAAAUAGAUGCACUGGCACAAUGCCAUACCCAACUCAUUCUUUCAGUGGGUUAAAGAUAUCCUGGAAGAAAUGAAGUUGAUAAAAUCCUUUCUUUCUGAAUCAUAUGAGUUGCUAAUUAUAUUAACUGACUUAAAUAAGAUAGCUAGGAAUACUAAUAUACAAGCUGACAAUGACACUGUAACCCCUGAAGAGGAUCUCCUUGGCCAGGAAAAACCAGCAAAGAAGACUAUAAAGAGCAUACCUAAAAUGAAAAGAACUCAGCGAAAGAAAAGUAAAACUGAGAUAUUAAAAUAUAAGAAGAGCAAAAAUAUUAAGCAUCCAAAUAAAGCUAAAAAAUCAGCUUGUAAAUUUAAUUAUACAGUAGUCAUCUAUUCAAACUGAUAGCAGAAAGCCAAGAAGCUUAAAAAAACACCCCAUUCAGACUCCCCCCAAAAGACAUCAAACUUAAAAAGACAUACAUCAUAAAAGUCCUUAUAACCCCACAGUUUCAGACAGUACUACUAAGAAGGAAGGACAAGAUCCAUGGGCGGAUGCCCUAAGGAAUAGCAAUAGCAAGAGUAAUCAGACAUCCCAACUCUCAGUACAACCAAAAUGUCAUGACAACAGGAAAUUAAAAUUGCUGGUGUUUGUUGGAUCCCCCAAAGAAAAGGGAAUGCUCAGUCAACAUAAUCGCAAACUACACUUAACCAAAACAUGACAAGCUAACCUUCCUGAGGUACAAACACCAUCAAAAAUCCUGAAGGUUGAAUACUUGUUCUAUAACUAUUCUCAGGCAAGAGCAGUAGUGGCUUCUGAGAACAGCACUGCAGCUAAAAAGGUUUAUGAGAAGAGACAGGAGCUACAGGCCUUGGCUAUAUCUGUAGCUAGGUACUAUAAAAAUAUGGCUUCCCCUUUAUCCCUGAUAAGCUUCCACCAACACGGGAUCCAUAGAUGUGAGCCAGCUUCUAAAAAUGAACAGGCACUUGUGGAUGAUCUUAUUAAUUUGGAAGAACCAUCUGAAUCUCUGUUGCCACUGACCCAGAGAGAGGAGUGGCAGGGAUUGUUCAAAGGAGCCAUGAUAAAUACUGACCGAAGGGAAAUGUACCAGCUUCCUUCCGUUUCCAAGGCUCAUUGCCAAGAUGGCUAAACCGAGGAGGCCCUUGCGCUUGGAGGAAAAUGAGAAUUAGAAAAGGCAAUGAUGCUAGGAAAGAUGGAAGGCAUAGAAGGAAGGAGAGCGCAAGCCAGAUGGAUGGACUCUAUUAAGGCGGACGCAGGUACAGAUUGACAAGACUUGGCCAGUGGACGAUGGGAUCUUGGAGAUGUCUGAUCCAUAGGGUCGCCAUAAGUCAGAGUCAACUCAAGGGCAGGUAACAACAAUAACCAUUACCCCCCACAUUCUCUGGUCUUAGGGGGGAAGGACCCCAUUGAAUUUCAUAAAACUCUAUUUGGGGGGGGGGGUUUCCGUGGGGCUCUGUGGCCAUAUUCUGGA